UACGAAGGGGGGCUAGCGUUGCUCGGAAUCACUGGGCGUAAAGGGUGCGUAGGCGGCCUAUUAAGUCAGGGGUGAAAGACGGUAGCUUAACUAUCGCAGUGCCUUUUGAUACUGAUAGGCUUGAAUACACUUGAGGUAGGCGGAAUGUGACAAGUAGCGGUGAAAUGCAUAGAUAUGUCACAGAACACCAAUUGCGAAGGCAGCUUACUAAAGUGUGAUUGACGCUGAGGCACGAAAAGCGGUGGGGAUCAAAACAGG
rnacentral:rRNA from 1 species